rnacentral:rRNA from 1 species
CUACGGAGGGUGCAAGCGUUAAUCGGAACUACUGGGCGUAAAGCGUACGUAGGCGGCAAGUUAAGUUAGAUGUGAAAGCCCCGGGCUCAACCUGGGAACUGCAUUUAAAACUGGCUUGCUAGAGUUGAGUAGAGGGGAGUGGAAUUUCAGGUGUAGCGGUGAAAUGCGUAGAGAUCUGAAGGAACACCAGUGGCGAAGGCGACUCCCUGGACUCGAACUGACGCUGAGGUACGAAAGCGUGGGUAGCAAACGGGAUUAGAAACCCUAGUAGUCC